UUCGCACGCGCACAGCCCGCCGCGCGCCGACGACCGCUCGCUCUCAUCCCUCCCGCCCGCAGGAGGGCAGCACGGGUCUCGUCUCUCGACCGCGCGCGACGCCGGGAGGCCGGGUCGACACUUGGGGUUUCCGCGCGCGCCGCCAUGUCCGACCCACACAAGGGCCGCCGCACCUGCAUCUCGGUGACGCGAACAAGGCUCGCCCUCCCGCCCGCCCGCGUCUGAGGAACCUUCUUAAGAUCUGCAACCACCAAACACAUACAUGUCGUUUCAAAAUCCUAUUCGCACAUUUGUGAGAUAGUACGUUUUCCCCCCUAAAGUUACAGUUCUCGAAAUACUUCGUGAAAAUGCGCAUACCAAUCAAUCACCCGUGUCCGGCAAAUAUUAAGGCGAAUUAAAAAAAAAAAAAUCUAUACCGCUAACUAUACUCAAAUCUGUAUUGAAAUCACAGGGCAAGAAAAAAAAACAAUAUAUACGGCACGUAGAGAAGGUCGGGCGUGGGUGCGGCGACCACUUGCCGACGCGCGACUCGAUUUAAACUGGUCCAGCCCAGCAUCACGUGCGUGCGACGAGAGGUGUGAUCUCUGAUCCCCCUCCCUCCCCCAUUUACCCGCCGCCGUCCACGCCUCCGCGGCCGGAGCCGUGGUCAAGGACUCGAGCGAACCGGGACUCAAGGAAGUUACGAAGGAAAAAAAAAAUUAGUGAGGUGAGAAAAAAGAGGGAAGAAGGGGAAGAACCCGAAGCAGCGUGGUGUGGUGACAAGAAAAAAAAAAAAAAAAAGUGAACGUGCAUUGCAGGAGAAUAAAGGAGGAACGAGAAGGAAAAACUAGAGAAGCGAAAGGAGGGCAACAAACAUGACUCGUGAAAUCAGCUGGGCGUUGAGGUUCUGCGCAGCGCUGUGGGUGGCCGCCCUCGCCUGGGGCUCUCCGAACCAGCAGGUGAACACCAAGUAUCCUCUCGAGGUGUACCAGAUGUACCGGCAGAGGCUGCUGGCGGGCGGCAAGCUGGCGGCCGCCGUGGGCUCGUGGUCUCACUGGG